UACGGAAGAUCCAAGCGUUAAUCGGAAUUACUGGGCGUAAAGCGCGCGUAGGUGGUUUAUUAAGUUGGGUGUGAAAGCCCCGGGCUCAACCUGGGAACUGCAUCCAAAACUGAUUCACUAGAGUACGAAAGAGGGAGGUAGAAUUCACAGUGUAGCGGUGGAAUGCGUAGAUAUUGUGAAGAAUAUCAAUGGCGAAGGCAGCCUCCUGGUUCUGUACUGACACUGAGGUGCGAAAGCGUGGGUAGCGAACAGGAUUAGAUACCCUGGUAGUCCACGCCGUAAACGAUGACAACUAGCUGUUGGGAAGCAAUGCUUUUCAGUGGCGCAGCUAACGUAUUAAGUUGUCCGCCUGGGGAGUACGACCGCAAGGUUAAAACUCAAAUGAAUUGACGGGGACCCGCACAAGCGGUGGAGCAUGUGGUUUAAUUCGAUGCAACGCGAAAAACCUUACCUACUCUUGACAUCCUUGGAAUCUCUUGUAAUGAGAGAGUGCCUUUUGGAACCAAGUGACAGGUGCUGCAUGGCUGUCGUCAGCUCGUGUCGUGAGAUGUUCCGUUAAGUCGGAUAACGAGCGCAACCCUUACCCUUAUUUGCCAGCGGUUCGGCCGGGAACUAUAAGGGGACUGCCGGUGAUAAACCGGAGGAAGGUGAGGAUGACGUCAAGUCAUCAUGGCCCUUACGAGUAGGGCUACACACGUGCUACAAUGGGAAGUACAGAGGGACGCCAAAGCGUGAGCUGGAGCUAAUCUCAUAAAACUUUUCGUAGUCCGGAUUGCAGUCUGCAACUCGACUGCAUGAAGUCGGAAUCGCUAGUAAUCGCGGAUCAGCACGCCGCGGUGAAUACGUUCUCGGGUCU
rnacentral:rRNA from 1 species